UGUUUUUUUUUUUUAUAUUUUUAAAGAAAUUUUAAGUAGGUGAUAUGGCUUGUCUUAUUAGUUCUUUUAGUAUUUCAAAAUGCUUUAUGAUGAGAGACUGUCAAACAUGGACAAUAGGUCAGGUAAUAUCUUCACCUGACUUGGCAUUCCCCUCUAAUUAAACCAUGAAAGUUUAGCAUCACAUCUGUAGUGGAACAUAGGACAACUUAUUUAAUUUUAUCCUGAGUAAAUGAAUGAAUUUGUCAAGAAAGAAAGGAGACUGGUCAUGUCACUUGAUUUUAUAACAAUUUUUCACAUUUUUCUUUUCCUAAGAAAUGAAGAUAUAAAUAAACACAUUUUCUUAAAAAGAGAAAGACCAAGCCAGGUGUAGUGGUGCUUGUGUGUAAUCCCAGUGGCUCAGGAGGCUGAAGCUGAGGCAGGAGGAUCUCGAGUUCAAAGCCAGCCUUAGCAACUUAGCAAGGUCCUAAGUAACUCAGUGAGAGUUUGUCUCUAAAUAAAAUAUAAAAAAGGAGCUGGGGAUGUGGCUUAAUGUUUAAGUGCCCCAGGGUUCAAUCCUCAGUACCAAUAAAUAAAUAAAUUAAAUAAACAAACAAAUAAAUAAAAGCAAAAGCCUACAAACAUUAUUUAGCUGUCUUUCCCAUAUUGUAACAUUUCUUCAACAUGGCACAAUGUAGAAGAAUAAUUUUACUCACGUAUGUGUGAAAGGAAGUUUAAAAUACUGCUAAGUACAUAGACUCAGGAACCAGAAGUCUUGGGUUCAAAUCCUAAUUCCUACUUGAUAGCUGUUUCCCUUUGGAAAGUGUUUCCUUUCUAUGUGACUGAAUCACAUUUGGAAAGUAGAAAUUCCAUUGUUUAAAAUUGUGAAGUCCAAUUAUUGUGAAAUUAAUAACACAGCUUUAUUUUUCAGAUGGUCUGACAAAAAGGGGCCAGAAAUACAAAAAGGAAGAUCAGAAGGACUGGAGCAAUUAUAAAAUAAGAUGUAGCAGUGCUACUCAGAUAUCAGAAGCUGCAUAUCCCUUGAAUCAACUUACUACUGUGAUAUCAACAGCACUGUUAGAAUCGGGCCUGGACUUGCUGAGGGGGUGUCAUUUAGUCAACGAGUGCUGCCUCUGUCCCAGCUCCUCCAUUCCCGUAUCAAUUCACACAUUGGGAGUUAGGAACCUUUCUCUUUUAGCCUUCUCAAUCCCUUCAGUACCUAAUAGGAAGCUACUUGUCAAAAGACCCUGAAAAUGUAGUUUGAUGUCUUCCAGCUCCAGAUGUUCAGAAGAGUAUAUAGCAGGGUAGAUAGACUGAAAAGCCACAGAUAAAUAACCUGUGCAAAGACUUCGUACAUAUGCACAGAAUCUGUAUUUUUUUGUAAUCUGCAGCUAUCUCUAGGAAGAAGAACUUGGGCUGGUGUACAGCAGUGGGGGGAUAUAUUUUUUAUUCUUUGCCAUUUGGGGUUUGUUUUUAAGGUAUUUAGAUCACAGAAUUGUACUCAUUUCACAGCACACAUUUUGGCUCAUGCAAAUUAUGCCCCUUUCUUUCUUCCAUCGUUACCCAUGCCAUGGGUGUCUUGCUCCCAUAUUUUAUCUGCACUGAAAUUCUUAAAAGAUAUAUAAUAAGUUAUAUUUAAUGCUGUUAUACUAAAACUUUUUUUUUUCACUUAACAUUAGUGUUUGAGAUGGAUCAAUAAUACUGUUUAUAAAUUUGGGUCAGUGUAUUUUGCUGCCUGGUAUUCUGCCAUAUGCAUAUAACUACAUUUUCUCUAUUUUCCUAUUGUUGGUAUCUAAGUUGCGUGUACCUGUCUUGCAUGUAAGCUGCAACAAACAGUCUAAUCCCUGUUUUUUUGUGGAUCUGUCCAGAGUCUUUGGAAUGUAUAUACCCACUAUGGUAGACAGCCUCUGAAACAGCUCUCAGGGUUCCCAUUUCCUAAUAUUCAUGCUCUUGUUUAAUUUUUCUUUUAUUUUAGGCUAGAUCUAGUGAUUCUUCUCUAACAAAUUGAAUGUGGCAAACGUGGUGAUAUGUUACUUACAAAAUUAGUUUACAGGAACAUUAUGACUUCUGUCUUGCUUUCUAUUUCUCAUUCUCUUUUUUGAGAGCCCUUACUCUAGAGGAAACAAGCUGCCCUGUUGUGAACUGCCCUAUGAAGGGAUCCAUGUGGCAAGUAACUGAUAUCUGUAGCUGAUAUUCAGCAAGGCCCUAAGACUUGCCAGCAGCCAAGUAAGCAAGCUUGGAAAUGGAUCUUCUGAGGACUUUGAAAAGGUUCACUGACCCUUGAGAUGACUACAGCCCCAGCUGACCCUCGAUUGCAGUCUUCUGAUGCACAGAUAGUAAGGGUGAAGAGGAAAAGCCCCAAAUCCUUUUAAUAAUUUUAAUUAAAAUGGCCACCAGAUGGCACCAAUGCCUGAAGUGGCAUCUUCCCUGUGUUACUGGAGCAAUGAGAGGCGCAGCCCAGUAUUAGGCUUUCCCUCCUUGGAAAACAUAUGUCUAGAACCUGCUGUUCACUUGCAGCUGUAACUGGUAAGAUUUUACUAUUGAAUGUAUAUAUAUAUCUCCUCACCCCCAGUACUGAGGUUAGAACCCAGGGUCCUCUACUACUAAGCUAC